GAGUUUGAUCCUGGCUCAGAACGAACGCUGGCGGCAGGCCUAACACAUGCAAGUCGAGCGAGACCUUCGGGUCUAGCGGCGGACGGGUUAGUAACGCGUGGGAACGUGCCCUUCUCUGCGGAAUAGCCACUGGAAACGGUGAGUAAUACCGCAUACGCCCUUCGGGGGAAAGAUUUAUCGGAGAAGGAUCGGCCCGCGUUAGAUUAGAUAGUUGGUGGGGUAAUGGCCUACCAAGUCUACGAUCUAUAGCUGGUUUUAGAGGAUGAUCAGCAACACUGGGACUGAGACACGGCCCAGACUCCUACGGGUGGCAGCAGUGGGGAAUCUUAGACAAUGGGCGCAAGCCUGAUCUAGCCAUGCCGCGUGUGUGAUGAAGGUCUUAGGAUCGUAAAGCACUUUCGCCAGGGAUGAUAAUGACAGUACCUGGUAAAGAAACCCCGGCUAACUCCGUGCCAGCAGCCGCGGUAAUACGGAGGGGGUUAGCGUUGUUCGGAAUUACUGGGCGUAAAGCGUACGUAGGCGGAUCAGAAAGUAAGGGGUGAAAUCCCAGGGCUCAACCCUGGAACUGCCUCUUAAACUCCUGGUCUUGAGUUCGAGAGAGGUGAGUGGAAUUCCAAGUCUAGAGGUGAAAUUCGUAGAUAUUUGGAGGAACACCAGUGGCGAAGGCGGCUCACUGGCUCGAUACUGACGCUGAGGUACGAAAGUGUGGGGAGCAAACAGGAUUAGAUACCCUGGUAGUCCACACCGUAAACGAUGAGUGCCAGUCGUCGGGCAGUAUACUGUUCGGUGACACACCUAACGGAUUAAGCAUUCCGCCUGGGGAGUACGGUCGCAAGAUUAAAACUCAAAGGAAU
rnacentral:rRNA from 1 species